rnacentral:rRNA from 1 species
CGAUAGCGUAUAUUAAAGUUGUUGCAGUUAAAAAGCUCGUAGUUGAACUUCUGCAUGUUGAGUUACUAGCCGUUAGGCCAGAUAACUUCAUGCAUCCCCUUUGAUUUAGGUAUAGGUCCUUUGUUGGACCAUUCCGUAAUCAAGGAAUUUACUUUGAAAAAUUAGAGUGUUUCAAGCAGGCGAUUUGCUGGAAUACAUUAGCAUGGAAUAAUAGAACACGACCUACCUGUCAUUUUAUUGGUAUAUGACAAUAGGUAAUGAUUAACAGGGACAGUUGGGGGCAUUAGUAUUAUAUUGUCAGAGGUGAAAUUCAUUGAUUAGUAUAAGACUAACUUAUGCGAAAGCAUUUGCCAAGGAUGUUUUCAUUAAUCAAGAACGAAAGUUAGGGGAUCAAAGACGAUUAGAUACCAU